CAGCGAUUCGAACUCCGCCCACU
rnacentral:miRNA from 1 species